rnacentral:rRNA from 1 species
AUUGAACGCUGGCGGCAGGCCUAACACAUGCAAGUCGAGCGGAGCGGAGGACGGGGGAGUAAUGCCUAGGAAUAUGCCUGGUAGUGGGGGACAACGUCGGGGAAGGGAAGCUAAUACCGCAUACUAUCAGAUGAACCGAGGUGGGAUUAGCUUGUUGGUGAGGUAACGGCUCACCAAGGCUACGAUCACUAGCUGGCCUGAGAGGAUGAUCGGCCACACUGGGACUGAGACACGGCCCAGACUCCUACGGGAGGCAGCAGUAGGGAAUAUUGGGCAAUGGGCGAAAGUCUGACCGAGCCAUGCCGCGUGUGUGAAGAAGGUUUUCGGAUUGUAAAGUACUUUUGGUAGAGAGGCGGUACCGACAGAGAAAGCAACGGCUAACUACGUGCCAGCAGCCGCGGUAAUAC